rnacentral:rRNA from 1 species
UGAAUACGAGAUGCUACGGCGUCGAAGCAGUGUAUGUCAGACUUCCAAGAAAAGCUCGCAAUGUCAUAAAUAAAGAAUGCCUGUACCAUAACCGACACAGGUGGGUAGGUAGAGUAUACUAAGGGGCGCGAGAUAACUCUCUCUAAGGAACUCGGCAAAAUAACUCCGUAACUUCGGGAGAAGGAGUGCCCUCUUUAAGAAGGUUGCAAUAACAAGAUCCAAGCAACUGUUUAUCAAAAACACAGGUCUCCGCUAAGUCGUAAGACGAUGUAUGGGGGCUGACGCCUGCCCAGUGCCAGAAGGUUAAAGAAGUUGGUUAGCUUUUGCGAAGCUGAUGACUGAAGCCCUGGUGAACGGCGGCCGUAACUAUAACGGUCCUAAGGUAGCGAAAUUCCUUGUCGGGUAAGUUCCGACCCGCACGAAAGGCGUAAUGAUUUGGAUACUGUCUCGGAGAGGGACUCGGUGAAAUAGACUUGUCUGUGAAGAUGCGGACUACCUGCACCAGGACAGAAAGACCCUAUGAAGCUUUACUGUAACUUGAAAUUGAAAUUGGACUUUAUUUGCGCAGUAUAGGUGGAAGGCGUUGAAAGUAAUCUUGCGGGAUUAGUGGAGCCAUCAGUGAGAUACCACUCCUAUAAUGUUAGAUUUCUAACUUUGGAUCAUGAUCUGGUCAAAGAACAGUUUCAGGCGGGCAGUUUGACUGGGGCGGUCGCCUCCCAAAUGGUAACGGAGGCGUACAAAGGUUUCCUCUGAACGGGUAGAAAUCGUAUCUAGAGUGUAAAGGCAUAAGGAAGCUUGACUGUGAGACCUACAAGUCGAGCAGGGACGAAAGUCGGUCUUAGUGAUCUGACGGUGCUGAGUGGAAAGGCCGUCACUCAACGGAUAAAAGUUACUCUAAGGAUAACAGGCUGAUCUCCCCCAAGAGUUCACAUCGACGGGGAGGUUUGGCACCUCGAUGUCGGCUCAUCGCAUCCUGGGGCGGUAGUACGUCCCAAGGGUUGGGCUGUUCGCCCAUGAAAGCGGUACGCGAGCUGGGUUCAGAACGUCGUGAGACAGUUCGGUCCAUAUCCGGUGUAGGCGUUAGAAUAUUGAGAGGAGCCUUCUUUAGUACGAGAGGACCGAGAAGGACAUACCUCUGGUGUACCAGUUAUCGUGCCAACGGUAAACGCUGGGUAGCUAUGUAUGGAGAGGAUAACCGCUGAAAGCAUCUAAGUGGGAAGCCCACCUCAAGAUGAG